rnacentral:rRNA from 1 species
AGAGUUUGAUCCUGGCUCAGGACGAACGCUGGCGGCGUGCUUAACACAUGCAAGUCGAACGAAGAGCGAUGGAAGCUUGCUUCUAUCAAUCUUAGUGGCGAACGGGUGAGUAACGCGUAAUCAACCUGCCCUUCAGAGGGGGACAACAGUUGGAAACGACUGCUAAUACCGCAUACGAUCCAAUCUCGGCAUCGAGACUGGAUGAAAGGUGGCCUCUAUUUAUAAGCUAUCACUGAAGGAGGGGAUUGCGUCUGAUUAGCUAGUUGGAGGGGUAACGGCCCACCAAGGCGAUGAUCAGUAGCCGGUCUGAGAGGAUGAACGGCCACAUUGGGACUGAGACACGGCCCAGACUCCUACGGGAGGCAGCAGUGGGGAAUCUUCCGCAGUGGACGAAAGUCUGACGGAGCAACGCCGCGUGAGUGAUGACGGCCUUCGGGUUGUAAAGCUCUGUUAAUCGGGACGAAUGGUUCUUGUGCGAAUAGUGCGAGGAUUUGACGGUACCGGAAUAGAAAGCCACGGCUAACUACGUGCCAGCAGCCGCGGUAAUACGUAGGUGGCAAGCGUUGUCCGGAAUUAUUGGGCGUAAAGCGCGCGCAGGCGGAUUGGUCAGUCUGUCUUAAAAGUUCGGGGCUUAACCCCGUGAUGGGAUGGAAACUGCCAAUCUAGAGUAUCGGAGAGGAAAGUGGAAUUCCUAGUGUAGCGGUGAAAUGCGUAGAUAUUAGGAAGAACACCAGUGGCGAAGGCGACUUUCUGGACGAAAACUGACGCUGAGGCGCGAAAGCCAGGGGAGCGAACGGGAUUAGAUAC